UUCCCUUGAUUUUUUUCAAGAAUUCAGUUACUAGCUCUAGAAAUAUCUCAAAGAUUUAACACUGAUGCUAUUCCACAGUUGUGUUCUCAAAUUAAAUAGCCUUACCAAUUCUGCCAUGAACUAUUUUUAAUAUUUACUUUUGAGAUGGUUCUCAAAUUCAAUAUGGACAGGUAAAUUAAAGUAACCAGAGGCUGGGGAUAUGGCCUAGUGGCAAGAGAGCUUGCCUCCUAUACAUG